CCUUCUCCACGUGCUUAAUGGCCACCUGGAAGAAGACCCCCGAGUCUCCAUCAGACCCUCCUGCUCAAAGCAUCCCUCCGCGCGCCCUCCCCGAGGCGGCGUUGCCCACUCACCGGCAAGUUGUCGGCGACGCGGAUGCCAGAGUAGACCGAGCCGAAGCCACCGCUGCCCAACAGCGGGCCCACCUGGUACUGCGACUCCAGGGGCUCCUUCUCUUUGCCUAGGAAAGAGGCACGGGACACUCAGCGCGCUCGACCCACGCGGGGGUCUCCCGGCGUCCCAACGACCCGCGCGCCCAGGGUGGGGUGGGGACACUCACCCGGCGCCAGCUUGGUGGCGUGCAGGUCGUUGCAGGGCGCGGCGCGCAGGCAUUUGUAAAAUGUUGAUGGCCAAGCAUGAUACCUCAUGCCUGAGACGCCAGCUCUCAGGAGGCCCCCGGCAAGUUCAAGGCCAGCUUGCUCUACAUGAUCCAAAGAAGCGUCUUUCUCUGAUUCCUUUUAUCUGGAAGAACUGAGAGGAGACGGGCGAACGGUUGUGAGAAUCUCUUUAAGGGGCAGUCCUGGAAUGAGUGAAGUGCACCGCUGACUCCUGGCCGCCUGUCUCUCCUAUGGCCUGGCAUCUUCACAGAUGCAGAUUUUGAAAAUGCAUUUCUCCUUUAUCUGAGAGCCCCUCCUGCCCCCUCCUCCAGGACCGACACACUAUGCGUGGAACCUGUGAUGCUAGGCCAUCCUUCCUAUGGUUUGACAUAUUGUCUCACCAGUAAAGGGUAGAGCUGGAACCCACCAUGAAAUCCUGGCCCAGCAAAAUACGUGCCCUAGAGAAGAAGGACCACAAACUCAAGGUCACCUGGGGCUACAUACUUAAGAUCCAGUCUCAAAACUCCAAAUCAAACAAAAAUUGCGCUAAUAAUAAAUUGUAGGAAGUAAGAAGAUGACACCAGGUAGCAGGUCUCAGGCAGCCUCUUUCUGGCUUUAGACUCAUGAUGGCUUAGAGUAGUUUUGAACUCCCAGUAUCAUCUUCUAAAUGUGCAUCUCGACAAAAAAAAAAGGAAUGACUUCGCCGGGCGUGGUGGCGCACACCUUUAAUCCCAGCACUCGGGAGGCAGAGGCAGGCGGAUUUCUGAAUUCGAGGCUAGCCUGGUCUACAAAGUGAGCUCCAGGACAGCCAGGGCUAUACAGAGAAACCCUGUCUCGAGAAAAAAAAAAAAAAAAAAGGAAUGAUUUCUCUGAGAUAGGGCCACAUGUAGCCCAGGCAACCCUCAAACUGUGAAGUCACAGAUUAUCUGAUCCUCCUGCCUCCACCUCCCAGUGUAAUUAAAAGUACAGCUAGCCUGGUGGCACGCCAUGCCUGACAUAGAGAGAGCAUGCAUCCAACUAAGGGCUUCAUUCUUACUAAGGCAAGCAUUCUGCCUACUGAGCUACAUACAUCCCCGGUGCAGAGAGGAAUAUUUAUUAAGCCUUCAUCCCUUCCAUAAUUGGACAAUGUAUUGUCUUGAUGUUCUGAUGGGCAGGAAGUUAUUUAGGCAGUAUAUAAACUGUCAUACUACACAGGGCAAAAAUAUUGCUUGUUUUCAAAAAAACAUUAGAAUACAGUAAAAUGCACCUGUCAUGGACUAGCCGGCUCUUCCUUUAAUCUUUUUUCCCCCCUCUCCUGUUUCAAAAAGAUGUUCAGGGUUCUCAGCAUAUCAGGGUCAUCAUUUUCAAACAUCCAUUAGUGCCAUCCCCCAGUCGAGGGAGAGAUGUAGUUAAUAAACAUUUCUGCUUGAUAGAGUCUAGCGAUCUAUUAGAACUGCCACCAAGCAGUCAGAGCACACAGUCCCGUUACCAGCCACAGAUCACAUGGCUACACACGUUUCUCCCCACCCCCCGCCCCCCAUUCUCUUUCUUUCCUAACCCUGCCACUUCUAAUAGCUUUACAUGUAUAUUAUAUACACCUUUUUUUUUUUUUUUUUGGUUUUUUCAAGACAGGGUUUCUCUGUGUAGCCUGGCUGUCCUGGAACUCACUCUGUAGACCAGACUGGCCUCGAAUUCAGAAAUCCACCUGCCUCUGCCUCCCAAGUGCUGGGAUUAAAGGCGUGUGCCACCACGCCCAGCUAUAUACAUCUUUUUUAAAUUUAUCAUGUAUAUGUCUGUGAGGAUGUGCAUGGGGUGGGGGUGGGGGGGCUACUCUAGGAGACCAGAGGCACUUGAUCCCUUGGGAUGUUGCCUGAUGUGUGUUCUGGGAACCGAACUCUGGUCUUCUGUAAUAAUAGCAAAGAUCACUAUCAACCUCUGAGCCAUCUCAUGCGGUUUACAUGGAUGUAUUUGAUAUAUACCUAAUAAUGGUAUUUCCUUUGUG
rnacentral:lncRNA from 1 species